CAGCAGUUUAAUUCCACCGCUGAAAGAGAUGGUGUAAAGAGAUUUGAAAGCACUAAAACAGCCACUUAUUUUGUGGUGAGAUUGUUUUGUCAAGUACUGUCUCUGUGGUCAUGAAUGAGCUCUUGGUAUUAAGUCAUAAUGUAAAAACCAAGAUAAGCAUUCUUUAUGAUAAAGCAGUCUGAUCUCAGACUCUGUCGAACAUGGCGGAUGCUCAGGAUGAGGUCCAAGAUGAAGACAAAACACUGGAUCAAGCUGAGGUGGCACUUGGGGACCACGUGACAGGAGGAGUGGUUCAGAGUUGGAGGCAGGUGCAGAGGAGACUGGGCAAUGUCCCACCUAAAGGUAAACCCCCACAUUAGUCUUUAAACUGACAUGCUGAUGUGUUGUACAUUUUAAGAGGACCAGUGAGUUUUAAUUUCUGACAAAUUAAUGACUGUUCUUUUUCUAGGCCAAUCUGGUGUUGCUGUUGACCAUGACAAGCUCCUGGCUGAAGUGAAGGAGUGUCAAAAUCUUGUCAGAUUACAACAGGAGCUGCUGCAGGUGUGACUAUCUUGUGUGCUAAUACAAUUACACAAGCACAUCAGACAUAAAAAUACUCUGCUCGUUUUCUGCCUGCAGGACAGCUUUGUUUCACCCAUCCCCUCUGAACUGUCUGAUUCCUACUUUUUGGAAGAGUGGGAACAUCUUCAGAUGCGAGUGGCAGAGCUUGAACAUCAGAGGCGGACUUUUGAAAGGGAGCGGAAGUCUUUCACUGAUGCUGUAAUCCGACUAAGCCAUGAGGUGAAAAGAAAGAGGCAGAGGGAAUUUCUGAAGGAAUAUGAUGAUAUGUGACGAUACUGUAGUCCCCGCUGAGCUAAAAAUGUAGAUAAUGGAUAGGUAAAUGUUAGUGUGACCAAGGGAUGUAGCACUUUUUUUCCCCUCGUGACGUUGUACAAUUACUGUUGAUAAAUCAUGUGAAAAAUUAGAGCAUUUGGGCUUAAGAUGUUGCUUAUUAGUGUCAAGUUUCUAAUUUCCCCUCUUCAGCGCCGUGAUUUUGAGCAACAGAAAGGUUCCCUAAUGAAGCAGCAGUUUUUGUGUGACUCACCUCUAUUUACUAAAGGGGCACUGAGCUGCAACAGGCGAGAGAGCACUGCUCUCAAUUUCUCAGGUUUGGGGCCCACCAACAUAUCUGGCUGUCUUCCCAUUACGCCAUCAUCCACCGAUUCCAGGACUGCUGCUGUUCCUCAGUUACAUCAGGGAAGAGUUCGAGUUCAAACUCCCAGCACCCCUGAGCUGUACUCUGCUCUCAAUCUAUCAUACAACUGCAGGUUGGUCAAGACAGAUUCUUUACAACACAUCUGAUUUCAGGAGUAGUAUACAUUAAAAAUUCAAAGAAUUACAUUGCACAGUGAUGAACUUACCUGUCUUUAUGUUCAGAUAACACAGAUAUGAGUUACCAGCACUCUCCUGUGCUUCCUCUUUGUCAGUCUGGGUUUGUAAACACUGAUGUAAAUAAACACAGCUUCUCAACAGUAUAUCUAUAGUUUAGUCUCCUUUAUGAAGACUAAUAAUGCUAAUAGUCAUCAAAAUUGGUAUUUUGAAUCAUUAUAGAAAUUUAUCUUUAGCUCCAUUUAAGUGAUAGUUCAUGUUCGAUUGACUUUUGAGUUCAUGCUCAACAUUACUGCAGCUAUUAUUUAGCUGUUUCUUCUUUUCUCCAGAGCCAUUGAGGUUAAUCACCAGCAAGAGACAUGGGACGGUGGUGCAGACAGGAUAGUGCAUACACCACAUGCUCCACACUUAGACUGGUCAUUUUAAUGCAAUUUUUGUUGCUACAUUAGAUGGUCACUUAAAAUCCAAUUAUGCCUGUUUUCUCUUUUUAACAUCUUCAAUAAAGACUGAAUUUCCCUAUUGUUAUUUUGACACUACACUGUCUGACUAUAAUGAAAAUUGAUUCUGCCUGUUAUAAUACAGUAUUGACAACAGAUUUAGGUUUCUCAUGGUGGCUAAUUAUAAACCAGGACAUUUUAUCCACUAACUCCUUAUGAGAACUGUCUGUUCUGUGUGAUAUACCCAUGUGUUGUUUCCUAACAAACUGAAGAAUCAGAUGGUAAACUCAGUGCACUGUAACAACUUACCAUGUGAACACUGAUUCCUUUAAGCCCAUAGUUGUUACACUAGGCUUUUUUUGAACUCACUGAGCAUUGUGCAUUUAGAACCAUCUCAGGUUGGUGUCUGCUUCCAUGAAGAGCAACCACAGUACUGCCUUAUCCCUGUUUAUAGACAAUUUAAAAUAAAAAAUCUGUUCCAGCUUUAUUCAACUCAUCACCUACUGAGUCUAUUUAGAUUCCUUUAUAAAAUAAAGGUUUCUGAUGCAACAUCAGCCACUAGCAAGAUGCAUGAAGAAAAUCAAACUAAAGAGGGAAACACUUUCUGUGUAAUGAGUAACUUUAUUCUAAAACAAUAUGUUUUGGAUUGUGGCCUUUAUCAGUCAUUGUAAACACGUUAGGGAAUAUACUUAAAUGGAUAGUUGCACCUAUCUUAAGUGUGUUAUGGGAUCUCCUUUUCAAAUCAAAAGACAUUCCCA
ensembl:lncRNA